rnacentral:rRNA from 1 species
AUUGAACGCUGUCGGAAGGCUUAACACCUGCCAGUCGAACGAGUGGCGGACGGGUGAGUAAUGCUUGGGAAUCUAGCUUAUGGAGGGGGAUAACUAAGGGAAACUGUAGCUAAUACCGCGUACCAUAGGAUGAGCAUAUGUGGGAUUAGCUAGUUGGUGGGGUAAUGGCUCAACAAGGCGACGAUCUCGAUCUGGUUUGAGAGGAUGAUCAGCCACACUGGGACUGAGACACGGCCCAGACUCCUACGGGAGGCAGCAGUGGGGAAUAUUGGACAAUGGGCGAAAGCCUGAUCCAGCAAUACCGCGUGUGUGAAGAAGGCCCUAGGGUUGUAAAGCACUUUUGUUAGGGAGAUGUUACCUAAAGAAUAAGCACCGGCUAACUCCGUGCCAGCAGCCGCGGUAAUUC